AGAGUUUGAUCAUGGCUCAGAUUGAACGCUGGCGGCAGGCCUAACACAUGCAAGUCGAGCGGCAGCACAGAGGAACUUGUUCCUUGGGUGGCGAGCGGCGGACGGGUGAGUAAUGCCUGGGAAAUUGCCCGGUAGAGGGGGAUAACCAUUGGAAACGAUGGCUAAUACCGCAUAACCUCGCAAGAGCAAAGCAGGGGA
rnacentral:rRNA from 1 species